AUGAUCAGGAUCAGCAGGAGCAGGCAAGGGAAGGGGGCCUUUGAUAAAAGGAAGGAACCCCCAGUCAAGAAAUAUGUUGCCCCGGCGCAACAGUCCAGCUCGUAUGGCACCAGGAAGAAGAAAAAGGCCGCCGCUCUUUCGCUCGCCGAGUGUUGCACAGGAAAGAAAAUAUUCAACUACACCAGAAGGUUACAUCGAAGUGGUGAAGAUCGAGUCGAUUUAUUCAAAGGGAUAAUCACAGCACAACAUUGGAGUACACGCAACGCAACAUGCGGCCGUGUACAUAUCGGUCACAGCUUAAUUACACUCAUCACACAAGGUACAUCCAUCUGCUCUCUCCGAGCUAAUACAAUGUAUGGCGGCUCAUCUCAAUCACCACUCACGCCCUGUGACGCUUCUGCCCAGGUGCGCAACGCAGGUACACCUCCUCUGUUCUCCAGUCUCGAAAUGUCGUUUCCGCCGAGAGCAGAGGGCCUUCUCAAGGGAGGAGGAGGGAAAAUAGGUUCAAUUCUUGCGGGGAUGCUACUCUAA
rnacentral:rRNA from 1 species